rnacentral:rRNA from 1 species
UACGUAGGGGGGCUAGCGUUGUCCGGAAUCAUUGGGCGUAAAGCGCGCGUAGGCGGCCCGGUAAGUCCGCUGUGAAAGUCAAAGGCUCAACCUUUGAAUGUCAGCGGAUACUGCCGGGCUAGAGUCCGGAAGAGGCGAGUGGAAUUCCUGGUGUAGCGGUGAAAUACGUAGAGAUUGGGAAGAACACCAGUGGCGAAGGCGGCUAUCUGGACGGUUUCUGACACUAAGACUCGAAAGCGUGGGGAGCAAACAGG